AUGAACGCUGGCGGCGCGCCUAACACAUGCAAGUCGAACGAUUAAAGCACCUUCGGGUGUGUAUAAAGUGGCGAACGGCUGAGUAACACGUGGGCAACCUGCCCCUCUCAUUGGGAUAGCCACGGGAAACCGUGGAUAAUACCGAAUACUUCGGGACUUCCGCAUGGAAGACUCGAGAAAGCUCCGGCGGAGAGGGAUGGGCCCGCGGCCUGUUAGCUUGUUGGUGGGGUAAUGGCCUACCAAGGCAAUGAUGGGUAGCUGGGUUGAGAGACCGACCAGCCAGAUUGGGACUGAGACACGGCCCAGACUCCUACGGGAGGCAGCAGUGGGGAAUCUUGCACAAUGGGCGAAAGCCUGAUGCAGCGGCGCCGCGUGCGGGAUGAAGGCCUUCGGGUUGUAAACCGCUUUCAGCAGGGACGAGGCGAAAGUGACGGUACCUGCAGAAGAAGCCCCGGCUAACUACGUG
rnacentral:rRNA from 1 species